GAGAUUAUGACCUGAGCUGAAGUCGGACACUUACCUGAGAGCCAUCCAGGCACCUGCUGUAUGCAGAAUUUAUAAUGAGAUAGAGAAGCUGCCCAAGACUGGAGGAACGUAACACGGCAAGAAAAUGAGUGGAGUAAGAGAAGCUUAAGGGAAAACACAAGUAAAACAAGGGAAAUAAAGAUUCUGCUGCUCUCACUCUCUGCUCUCCAUUGUCAUAUUCCUGAGGAACACAGGCAGUGUGAAUCCUCAUUACCUCUCCAUUGCCACGCAGCGGAGUGUGGGCUCUGGAUGGGGACUGCCUGGAGUUAGUACUGGCACCAUCACUCACGACCUGGGAGAUCCUGGGGACAACCUAAAGCCUCUCAGUCUCAAAUUGCUCAAAUUCCACAUGCUAACCGUACCGACCUGAUGGGGCUACUGUGGACUAAAUACACACAAAGAACUUCAAACAUGCCAGGUAUAAGGAAACGUGACAGGAUCACAGAAUAUGAAUUCUGAACAGAUCUGAAAGGUUCAACUCUGCAGAGGGGAGUAAUGUGCUCGUGUUUUAAAUGGUUAAAGGAAGAGUGGAGCCCAAAGGAUGCUGAGUCCCCUCCCCACCUGGGGCUGUUUGCACUUCACUGAACCAGCUUGCAUUUCUGUCAAGUGAUGACAAAGCCUGAUGGAGAACUUCCUCCAGCUAC